rnacentral:rRNA from 1 species
AUUGAACGCUGGCGGCAAGCCUAACACAUGCAAGUCGAACGAGUGGCGGACGGGUGAGUAAUGUCUGGGAAACUGCCUGAUGGAGGGGGAUAACUACUGGAAACGGUAGCUAAUACCGCAUACCAGACGCUGUGCCCAGAUGGGAUUAGCUAGUAGGUGGGGUAAAGGCUCACCUAGGCGACGAUCCCUAGAUGGUCAGAGAGGAUGACCAGCCAUACUGGACAUGGAACACGGGCCAAACUCUUACGGGAGGCAGCGGUGGGGAAUAUUGCACAAUGGGCGCAAGCCUGAUGCAGCCAUGCCGCGUGUAUGAAGAAGGCCUUCGGGUUGUAAAGUACUUUCAGCGGGGAGGCGUUACCCGCAGAAGAAGCACCGGCUAACGCCGUGCCAGCAGCCGCGGUAAUUG